UUGAUCCUGGCUCAGGAUGAACGCCAGCGGCGGGCUUAACACAUGCAAGUCGAGGGGUAACAGGUCACUUCGGUGAUGCUGACGACCGGCGCACGGGUGAGUAACGCGUAUGGAACCUACCUGAAACAGGGGGAUAGCUUCCGGAAACGGGGAUUAAUACCGCAUACGAUUCAUUUGUGGCCUCACAAAUGGAUAAAAGCUACGGCGGUUUCAGAUGGCCAUGCGUACCAUUAGUUAGUUGGUGAGGUAAAGGCUCACCAAGGCGAUGAUGGUUAGGGGUCCUGAGAGGGUAGUCCCCCACACUGGUACUGAGACACGGACCAGACUCCUACGGGAGGCAGCAGUGAGGAAUAUUGGUCAAUGGGCGCUAGCCUGAACCAGCCAUGCCGCGCGCAGGAAGACGGCCCUACGGGUUGUAAACUGCUUUUCUGCAGGAAGAAUAUAUAGUCUUAGGGGUAUAUUGACGGUACUGCAGGAAUAAGCAUCGGCUAACUCCGUGCCAGCAGCCGCGGUAAUACGGAGGAUGCAAGCGUUAUCCGGAUUCAUUGGGUUUAAAGGGUGCGCAGGCUGUAAGGCAAGUCAGUGGUGAAAGCCCUGGGCUUAACUCAGGGAUUGCCAUUGAAACUGUUUUACUAGAGUGUAGUAGAGGACGGCGGAAUGAGUUGUGUAGCGGUGAAAUGCAUAGAUAUAACUCAGAACACCUAUUGCGUAGGCAGCUGUCUAUACUACAACUGACGCUGAGGCACGAAAGCGUGGGGAGCGAACAGGAUUAGAUACCCUGGUAGUCCACGCUGUAAACGAUGAUCACUCGGUAGUAGGCUAACUUAGUAGUCAGUGACCAAGGGAA
rnacentral:rRNA from 1 species